CCUACGGGUGGCAGCAGUGAGGAAUAUUUGUCAAUGGGCGCGAGCCUGAACCAGCCAAGUAGCGUGAAGGAUGACUGCCCUACGGGUUGUCAACUUCUUUUAUAAAAGAAUAAAGUGUGGGACGUGUCCUAUUUUGUAUGUACCUUAUGAAUAAGGAUCGGCUAACUCCGUGCCAGCCGCCGCGGUAAUACGGAGGAUCCGAGCGUUAUCCUGAUUUAUUGGGUUUAAAGGGUGCGUAGGCGGCCUUUUAAGUCAGCGGUGAAAGUCUGUGGCUCAACCAUAGAAUUGCCGUUGAAACUGGGGGGCUUGAGUAGGUUUGAGGCAGGCGGAAGGCGUGGUGUAGCGGUGAAAUGCUGAGAUAUCACGCAGAACCCCGAUUGCGAAGGCAGCCUGCCAAGCCAUGACUGACGCUGAUGCACGAAAGCGUGGGGAUCAAACAGGAUUAGAUACCCGAGUAGUC
rnacentral:rRNA from 1 species